rnacentral:rRNA from 1 species
CAACAGUGUAUGCUAAAGUUGUUGCGGUUGAAAAGCUCGUAGUUGGAUUUUGGGCGGGCGCAACCGGUCCGUUGAAAAGCUCGUAGUUGGAUUUUGGGCGGGCGCAACCGGUCCGUCGCAGGGCGUGUCACUGGUUGCGUUCGCCUCACCUUCGGUUCUCCGUCGGUGCUCUUGACUGAGUGUCGGCGGUGGCCGAUAAGUUUACUUUGAAAAAAUUAGAGUGUUCAAAGCAGGCUGCUCGCCUGCAUAGUGUUGCAUGGAAUAAUGGAAUAGGACCUCGGUUCUAUUUUGUUGGUUUUCGGAGCGCGAGGUAAUGAUUAAGAGGGACAGACGGGGGCGUCCGUACUCUGCCGUUAGAGGUGAAAUUCUUGGAUCGGCGGAAGACGAACUACUGCGAAAGCAUUCGCCAAGAAUGUUUUCUUUAAUCAAGAGCGAAAGUCAGAGAUUCG